GACGUAGGGCGCGAGCGUUGUCCGGAUUUAUUGGGCGUAAAGAGCUCGUAGGCGGCCUGUUGCGUCCGCUGUGAAAGCCCGGGGCUUAACCCCGGGUCGCAGUGGAUACGGGCAGGCUAGAGGUAGGUAGGGGAGAAUGGAAUUCCCGGUGUAGCGGUGAAAUGCGCAGAUAUCGGGAGGAACACCGGUGGCGAAGGCGGUUCUCUGGGCCUUACCUGACGCUGAGGAGCGAAAGCGUGGGGAGCGAACAGG
rnacentral:rRNA from 1 species